UACAGAGGUCUCAAGCGUUGUUCGGAUUCAUUGGGCGUAAAGGGUGCGUAGGCGGCGCGGUAAGUCGGGUGUGAAAUCUCGGAGCUUAACUCCGAAACUGCAUUCGAUACUGCCGUGCUUGAGGACUGGAGAGGAGACUGGAAUUUACGGUGUAGCGGUGAAAUGCGUAGAUAUCGUAAGGAAGACCAGUGGCGAAGGCGGGGUUGCUAGGCUGACACUGACGCUGAAGCGCGAAAGCCAGGGGAGCAAACGGG
rnacentral:rRNA from 1 species